rnacentral:lncRNA from 1 species
UUAGAGCUUGACGUUCAGAGGUUAUAUUCCUCGGCAAGUCAUGAACCCAUCGUCACCAGAAGGUUUCUUGUGGUGAUCAGAAGGUUGAAUAGAAGGUUUUUUUUUCAACACUGCAGUGGGUUGUAGUUGAUACCAAGAGUUGAUUGUAGGCCUACAAACCUGAGGGCUGGAGUUGGAUUGACUGGGCUGUUGGUGGUGUCGGAGUAGUGGAGAGAAGGUCCAAGAUGACGAGGAAUACUGGAAGUCCGAUGCAGUAUACUUGCGUUUAUGCGACAAUUUGCGGUGCCACGUCCCUGCUCGCGUUAUACGGCACAAUGGAGCACGCCAUUGUCGGCAAAUCUGGCAAGAGUGGAGAAGUCAGCCACGCCAACCCACAACGAGCAAAUAGGGUUGAAGGAGAGGCAGUUGGGAAGGACGAAGAGUGGGGUCAAACUUGUGGACAUGGCGGAUGCUAGUCGAGAUCAGUACCAAGGAGGCGUCGAUACGGACUCCAGACUUCGAGCAAUUGUCGUCAAAAUGCAGGCAGUUUUUCGGAACGCUUCCAAAGAGCUUACAAAUUUCGGACGUUGAGAUACGGAUUGGGACUCACGUAGAGAGAAGGCACGACCGGCGAAGCAAAACAGUAUCCUGCUAGUUUCAAGCUCACAUCCGAAAAAUGCGAGAAUGCUCACGGUGACCAUUUGUUGCUUAAGUCCUUGAAGAACAAGGUGGAUUACUGCCG